UACGUGGGGGGCAAGCGUUGUCCGGAUUUAUUGGGCGUAAAGAGCGUGUAGGCGGCUUGGUAGGUCCGCUGUGAAAACUCGAGGCUUAACCUCGAGCUGUCGGCGGAAACCAUCUGGCUAGAGUCCGGAAGAGGAGAAUGGAAUUCCCGGUGUAGCGGUGAAAUGCGCAGAUAUCGGGAAGAACACCCGUGGCGAAGGCGGUUCCCUGGGACGGUACUGACGCUGAGACGCGAAAGCGUGGGGAGCGAACAGG
rnacentral:rRNA from 1 species